rnacentral:rRNA from 1 species
AGUGAACGCUGGCGGUAGGCCUAACACAUGCAAGUCAAACGGCAGCCCCCUCAGUGCUUGCUCUUACGGGUGGCGGGUGGCGGGCGGGUGAGGACUGCAUCGGACCCUUGUUUUUCGUGGAAGAUAACGUAGGGAGACUUCCGCUAAUACCUCAUCCCACCUCCCGGUGAGACCAGGAGAUCUUCGGGCCUUGCGCGAUUCUAUGAGCGGAUGUCGGAUUAGCUAGUUGGGGGGGUAAAGGCCCACCCAGCCGACGGUCGGUGGCUCGUCUGAGAGGAUGAUCGGCCACACUGGAACUGAGACGCGUUCCAGAUGCCUGCGGGAGGCCGCAGUGGCGAAUACUGGACAAUGGUCGCAAACAUAAUCCAGCCAUACCACGUGGGUUAAGAAGGCGUUCGGGGUGUAAAGCCGUGUUGUGGGGAGAGAAGAGCAGCAGGUUAAUACCCCGCUGUUGUGACGGUACCCGAAGAAUAAGCACCGGCUAACUUCGUG